rnacentral:tRNA from 6 species
GGGCGGGUGGCGGAACGGCAGACGCGCACGGUUCAGGUCCGUGUGUCCGCGAGGACGUGAGGGUUCAAAUCCCUCCUCGCCCA